rnacentral:tRNA from 1 species
AAGAGCUUAGGAUAGCAUUAAGACCCUGAGCCUUCAAAGCUCAAAGCGGAAGUGAAAAUCUUCCAGCUCUUG